rnacentral:rRNA from 1 species
GACGAACGCUGGCGGCGUGCCUAAUACAUGCAAGUCGAGCGCAGGAAAUCGACGGAACCCUUCGGGGGGAAGUCGACGGAAUGAGCGGCGGACGGGUGAGUAACACGUAAAGAACCUGCCCUCAGGUCUGGGGUAACCACGAGAAAUCGGGGCUAAUACCGGAUGGGUCAUCGGACCGCAUGGCCCGAGGAUGAAAGGCGCUUCGGCGUCGCCUGGGGAUGGCUUUGCGGUGCAUUAGCUAGUUGGUGGGGUAUGGCCCACCAAGGCGACGAUGCAUAGCCGACCUGAGAGGGUGAUCGGCCACACUGGGACUGAGACACGGCCCAGACUCCUACGGGAGGCAGCAGUAGGGAAUCUUCCACAAUGGACGAAAGUCUGAUGGAGCAACGCCGCGUGAACGAUGAAGGCCUUCGGGUCGUAAAGUUCUGUUGUAAGGGAAGAACAAGUGCCGCAGGCGAUGGCGGCACCUUGACGGUACCUUGCGAGAAAGCCACGGCUAACUACGUGCCAGCCGCCGCAGUAA